GAUGAACGCUGGCGGCGUGCCUAACACAUGCAAGUCGAGCGGAGAAUUGUUGCUUGCAACAAUUCUUAGCGGCGGACGGGUGAGUAACACGUGGGUAACCUGCCCUAAACAAAGGGAUAACAAUGAGAAAUCAUUGCUAAUACCGUAUAAGCUUACACUAUCGCAUGAUAGAGUAAGAAAAGAUUUAUCGGUUUAGGAGGGGCCCGCGUCUGAUUAGCUAGUUGGAGAGGUAACGGCUCACCAAGGCGACGAUCAGUAGCCGACCUGAGAGGGUGAUCGGCCACAUGGGGACUGAGACACGGCCCAAACGCCUACGGGAGGCAGCAGGGGGGAAUAUUGCACAAUGGAGGAAACUCUGAUGCAGCAACGCCGCGUGAAGGAAGAAGGUUUUCGGAUCGUAAACUUCUAUCUACAGGGAAGAAAAAAAUGACGGUACCCGAGUAAGAAGCCCCGGCUAACUACGUG
rnacentral:rRNA from 1 species